rnacentral:rRNA from 1 species
AUGUUUCUGAAAACACCUUCAUCUGGCACCUCACCUUGCAAAUUAUUGAAGGAUAUAUCCAGUACAGACAAUGAUGUCAAAUUCUGUAGAACUGAUGGGAUUGACCCUGAUAAGCUGUUGUGUGCUAUGUAUAGUUCUUCCAGGCUUCCAAUAUGGCCAAGAGCAUCAGGAAUAUUACCAGAGAGCUUAUUCAUGGUCAGGUUCAAUACUCUGAGCCCCUUUAUAUUUCUCAGUGACAGAGGUAUGCUUCCCUCAAACAAAUUGUUGUCUAAUGAUAGCCAUUCCAACACUAAGCAGUUCUGA